rnacentral:rRNA from 1 species
AGUGAACGCUGGCGGCGUGCUUAACACAUGCAAGUCGAGCGGUAAGGCCCUUUCGGGGGUACACGAGCGGCGAACGGGUGAGUAACACGUGGGUGACCUGCCCUCAGCUCUGGGAUAAGCCUGGGAAACCGGGUCUAAUACUGGAUAUGACUCCAUGACGCAUGUUGUGGGGUGGAAAGCCUUGUGCGGCUGAGGAUGGGCCCGCGGCCUAUCAGCUUGUUGGUGGGGUGAUGGCCUACCAAGGCGACGACGGGUAGCCGGCCUGAGAGGGCGACCGGCCACACUGGGACUGAGACACGGCCCAGACUCCUACGGGAGGCAGCAGUGGGGAAUUUUCCGCAAUGGGCGAAAGCCUGACGGAGUGACGCCGCGUGUGGGACGAAGGCCCUUGGGUCGUAAACCUCUUCAGCUCCGACGAAGCGAGAGUGACGGUA